rnacentral:rRNA from 1 species
UACAGAGGUGGCAAGCGUUGUUCGGAAUUAUUGGGCGUAAAGGGCUCGUAGGCGGCCCGUCAAGUCCCGUGUGAAAGCCCCCGGCUCAACCGGGGAACUGCACGGGAAACUAGCAGGCUUGAGUUCGGGAGAGGGAAGCGGAAUUUCGGGUGUAGCGGUGAAAUGCGCAGAUAUCCGAAGGAACACCGGUGGCGAAGGCGGCUUCCUGGACCGACACUGACGCUGAGGCGCGAAAGCUAGGGGAGCAAACGGG